rnacentral:rRNA from 1 species
UGGGGAAUAUUGGACAAUGGGCGAAAGCCUGAUCCAGCAAUGCCGCGUGAGUGAUGAAGGCCUUAGGGUUGUAAAGCUCUUUUACCCGGGAUGAUAAUGACAGUACCGGGAGAAUAAGCUCCGGCUAACUUCGCGCCAGCAGCCGCGGUAAUACGAGGGGAGCUAGCGUUGUUCGGAAUUACUGGGCGUAAAGCGCGCGUAGGCGGUUUUUUAAGUCAGAGGUGAAAGCCCGGGGCUCAACCCCGGAAUAGCCUUUGAAACUGGAAAACUAGAAUCUUGGAGAGGUCAGUGGAAUUCCGAGUGUAGAGGUGAAAUUCGUAGAUAUUCGGAAGAACACCAGUGGCGAAGGCGACUGACUGGACAAGUAUUGACGCUGAGGUGCGAAAGCGUGGGGAGCAAAACAGGAUUAGAUACCCUGGUAGUCCACGCCGUAAAACGAUGAUAAACUAGCUGUCCGGGCUCAUAGAGCUUGGGUGGCGCAGCUAACGCAUUAAGUUAUCCGCCUGGGGAGUACGGUCGCAAGAUUAAAAACUCAAAAGGAAUUGAC